GAGGCGCGCGCGCGCUCGACUCGUGCUCGGGAGCUCCCGAGAGGCGGCCGCACGACGCAGCCGCGCCACCUCUGUCGCGGUCCGCGUGUCCCUCUGUUUCUUCGCCUCCUUGCUCCCCGCCCCUUCUUCCCGAUCCUCUAGCCGCCGGGAGAGACAAGGGAGCACCCCUCAGCGCGCUGAUUUAGAGGAGCCAGGGUAGAAGGACCGACCCUGGUGGAUGAGCUACGGAUCCUUUUCUCGGCCACCAGCAGCUCUGGAGGGACCCUUAAAAAGAGAGUGGCUUCGGGGUAUGAGGACUGGGUGAGCGCCCGCCUCCUAACACACACGCGCGCUCACACAGACACACAGAGACAGGGUCCUCUAGCUAUCUAACCACACCGACCUCCUCCUCCUCCUGCUGCUGCUGCACUAUGAGGAAGAGCGGACGCCUUGCCACCCAACAGCAGAGUAGAGUGUCGCGGGUGGGCUUUGUUGAGGUGUUCAAGAUGGAUCUAGGCCGUUAAAGAAGAGAGAAUUGGGGAGUGGGCAUCUCAAAGGAUACUCUCAAUCCCUCCAAGACCAACCCACUCUUCCCAACGGCCAAAGAAAUGAACCUCAUCCUGCAAAUGGAGGCUGUAGCUGCUGUGGGAAAACCAUCAGUGCCCAGAAGUCCCAGAAACCCCAGCCCAGUGCUUACCUCAAAGAACUGAGGAUAAGAAACAAACCAACACGUGACUUCAGUGUUGAUCGCCGGCCGUUGGUCAAAGGGUAGAAACCAACUGGAUAUCAACAGCAGAGACAAGAGUAGAGUCAGAGCCUGGACGAGGUCAUCUGUCGAGAGACGCAUGUGGAACCUUCAGGAUCACCAGCAUCAAGUCCAAGGUAAAAGAUCCAGCAAAGGAGACGGAGAGGAAGCCUGAAACAGGAGACAGCCCGGGAGAGUCUGACAUCCCGGAAGACAAGGAAGUGGUUUAAUAGAAAUCCCAUUAAAGUAUCCAUGGUGUAUCUUUAUUAACUGACAAAAUGAUUCUAAGCCACGCCAGAGAAGUGGAGCGUACUCCUGGGAUAAUGGACCAUUCUACCACAUCCUUUCCUUUUUAGCAUUUGAUAUGGAUAUGGUGCUUUUAUGAUCUUGAGAGAGGAAAACAGAAACGUUGCUCUAAAAAAGAAAAACUCUGUUCAUUCUGUCUUCUACAGCAUAAGACCUCCACCUUUUAUCCUGGUGCAUUUCUCUCUGUCACCUUGCUGGCACUCGUGAAUAAAAUUAAUAACAUGCAGCAUGUUCUUGGACUAAAUUUUGUCUAAUAAAUUUGGGGUUUCAGAUUCAUGGAGCAAAUCCAUCUUUAUUUUUGUUUUUGAAACAGGAUAUGCUGUGCAAUCUAGAAAAUGAUCUAUGGUAGCCAUAUUUUUGGAUUUGAAAGGAUAAACGUAUUAAAUGUACAGCAAGUCGAAGCGAAAGAAUGAAUAACAACAACUAGACAGGCAGCAAAACAUUAUCAAGUUGGACACUCGGAAUAUCCAGCACUUUUCAUGGUUCUAGAAGAUGCUAUGCAGAAUGCUGGAAAAGAAAAGACAUUAGUGGUCUUACUCAGCACUGGAGCCUGUGUGCUCCAAUAUCAACCUGCCAGGCAAGAUGUGCUCAGAGGAGCAGCAGAGGCAUGCCUUUUAUGGGGUAACUAACUGGAUUUGAGGCCUGUCCCACAAGAGAAAAUUUCAUAUUGUAACCCUUGACAAAUAUCACGGCUGAGGAAGUUAUAAGUCCUAGGGCUGAACAUGUUAUCAUUAUUAUUUUGUUAACUGAUCAUGCUGUCAAAGUUUUUCUAAAUAUUUAUGUUUGCACCCAUAGACCUGAGUUCAACCUUGAUCAGGGAAGUUUCUUUUUGCAAUGGGCAGGAGUCAAAGCAGAGACUCAUAACUGGUCAAAGUGCCAAGAAUAAUAGAGUGCUCAACCCUAAACAGGACACCUGUACCACCCCACCCCACCAAAACUCAGGAAGACCACAGAAAAGUAGGUAGAGGAACGCAAGCAUCAGAGUAGGUGGCUAUUGAGUCCACAAACUCAUAGCGGCUGCAGUUGCCUGCACAACACCUACAUAAGAUCAAGCCAGCAAAAAAAUCCAUCAUAGCUGGGAUAGAUGAUCUCAAGCUCCACCCCUAACCAAGGACCUAUGGGCAGUAGAGAGUUGCUAAUGAAGGGAGAACCAUUGCU
rnacentral:sRNA from 1 species